rnacentral:rRNA from 1 species
AUUACGGGGUGCAGCAGGCGCGACAACUUUACAAUGCCGGCAACGGCGAUAAGGGGACCUCGAGUGCCAGGUUACAAAUCUGGCUGUCGUGAUGCCUAAAAAGCAUUGCAUAGCAAGGGCCGGGCAAGACCGGUGCCAGCCGCCGCGGUAACACCGGCGGCUCGAGUGGUAACCGUUAUUAUUGGGUCUAAAGGGUCUGUAGCCGGCCGGAUAAGUCUCUUGAGAAAUCCAGCAGCUCAACUGUUGGGCUUUCAGGAGAUACUGUCUGGCUCGAGGCCGGGAGAGGUGAGAGGUACUUCAGGGGUAGGGGUGAAAUCUUGUAAUCCUUGAAGGACCACCAGUGGCGAAGGCGUCUCACCAGAACGGACCUGACGGCAAGGGACGAAAGCUAGGGGCACGAACCGGAUUAGAUACCCGGGUAGUCCUAGCCGUAAACGAUACUCGCUAGGUGUCGGCCACGGUGCGACCGUUGUCGGUGCCGUAGGGAAGCCGUGAAGCGAGCCACCUGGGAAGUACGGCCGCAAGGCUGAAACUUAAAGGAAUUGGCGGGGGAGCACAAU